CUAUCGGUACUCGCGAUGCAUCCAGAUUAUUUANUGAUCAUGGCUCAGAAUCAACGCUGGCGGACGUGCCUAACACAUGCAAGUCGAACGCGAAAGGGGCUUUGGCCCUGAGUAGAGUGGCGUCCGGGUGAGUAACGCGUGGGUAGUCUACCUUCGGGUGGGGAAUAACUCAGGGAAACUUGAGCUAAUACCGCAUAAUGCAGCGGCUCGACAUCGAGACAGUUGUUAAAGCCCUUCGCAAGAAGGGCGCCUGAAGAGGAGCCUGCGUCUGAUUAGCUAGUUGGUGAGCGGUAAAUUGUGCCCAACUCAAUGUGGCCUUACUGAAUUCAGGUUUAAAGCUUAGUGUUCCUUUGGCAAUGCAGGGGAACCCUGGGGGCCAAUGGGCCCCAAACCCAAAAAAUUUGGGAC
rnacentral:rRNA from 1 species